rnacentral:tRNA from 1 species
AAGUUAAUGCCUGAGUGGUUAAAAGGAAUGGACUGUAAAUCCAUUGAUAAUUUUUAUAUCUACAUCAGUUCGAAUCUGAUUUAACUUA